rnacentral:rRNA from 1 species
GACGAACGCUGGCGGCGUGCUUAACACAUGCAAGUCGAGCGGUAAGGCCCUUUCGGGGGUACACGAGCGGCGAACGGGUGAGUAACACGUGGGUGACCUGCCCUUAGCUCUGGGAUAAGCCUGGGAAACUGGGUCUAAUACCGGAUAUGACUCCAUGACGCAUGUUGUGGGGUGGAAAGCCUUGUGCGGCUAGGGAUGGGCCCGCGGCCUAUCAGCUUGUUGGUGGGGUGAUGGCCUACCAAGGCGACGACGGGUAGCCGGCCUGAGAGGGCGACCGGCCACACUGGGACUGAGACACGGCCCAGACUCCUACGGGAGGGCAGCAGGUGGGGAAUCUUGCGCAAUGGGCGAAAGCCUGACGCAGCGACGCCGCGUGAGGGA